rnacentral:rRNA from 1 species
UACGAAGGGGGCGAGCGUUGUUCGGAAUUACUGGGCGUAAAGGGCGCGUAGGCGGCACAGCAAGUCGGGAGUGAAAGCCCGGGGCUCAACCCCGGAAUGGCUUUCGAAACUGCUGAGCUAGAGUACAGAAGGGGCAACCGGAAUUCCCAGUGUAGCGGUGAAAUGCGUAGAUAUUGGGAAGAACACCUGAGGCGAAGGCGGGUUGCUGGGCUGAUACUGACGCUGAGGCGCGAAAGCCAGGGGAGCAAACGGG